UACGGAGGGGGCUAGCGUUGUUCGGAAUUACUGGGCGUAAAGCGCACGUAGGCGGCUUUGCAAGUCAGAGGUGAAAGCCCGGGGCUCAACCCCGGAAUUGCCUUUGAGACUGCAUCGCUAGAAUUGUGGAGAGGUAAGCGGAAUUCCGAGUGUAGAGGUGAAAUUCGUAGAUAUUCGGAAGAACACCAGUGGCGAAGGCGACUUACUGGACACAUAUUGACGCUGAGGUGCGAAAGCGUGGGGAGCAAACAGG
rnacentral:rRNA from 1 species